CUUGGCGACCAUAGCAUUGUGGACCCACCUGACUCCAUGCCGAACUCAGUAGUGAAACACAAUAGCGCCGAUGGUAGUGUAGCAUUUGUUAUGUGAAAGUAGGACAUCGCCAGGC
rnacentral:rRNA from 1 species